UGGGGAAUAUUGGGCAAUGGGCGAAAGCCUGACCCAGCGACGCCGCGUGAGGGAAGACGGUCUUCGGAUUGUAAACCUUAGUCAACAGGGAAGAAGAAAGUGACGGUACCUGUGGAGGAAGCCACGGCUAACUACGUGCCAGCAGCCGCGGUAACACGUAGGUGGCAAGCGUUAUCCGGAAUUACUGGGUGUAAAGGGUGUGUAGGCGGGAAGGCAAGUCAGAUGUGAAAAUUAUGGGCUCAACCCAUAACUUGCAUUUGAAACUGUUUUUCUUGAGAGACGGAGAGGUAAACGGAAUUCCCAGUGUAGCGGUGAAAUGCGUAGAUAUUGGGAGGAACACCAGUGGCGAAGGCGGUUUACUGGACGUCAACUGACGCUGAGACACGAAAGCGUGGGGAGCAAACAGG
rnacentral:rRNA from 1 species